rfam:Anopheles culicifacies strain species A-37_1 cont1.7497, whole genome shotgun sequence.
UUCGCAGUAUAUUCCUGUGAGCUUGCUGCUUUUUAAGAUCAAAUCACAGGAGUAUACUGUGAG